rnacentral:tRNA from 1 species
GGGGUAUUAGCAUAAUGGUAGUGCAUAUGACUUUUAAUCAUUACUAUACGAGUUCGAAUCUUGUAUACCCUA